AUGGAGCUGACCAGGGACAGAAAAUACCUAGCUGUGGGGCUGCAAGAUGGCGGCGCACAGCAGGACCGUGAGGGUGGUUCGCAGCCGGCUGGGCCCACAGCGGAGGCCUACCCGCUGGGCCGUUUCACGUGUCCCAUCUGUUCAGAGGUGUAUGAGAAGCUGGUGCAAGUGCCCUGUGGUCACGUCUUUUGCUCUGCAUGCCUGCAGGAAUGUCUGAAGCCAAAGAAGCCUGUCUGUGGGGUGUGUCGCAGCUCGCUGGCACCUGGCGUCUGAGCCGCGGAGCUCAAGGGGCACAUUGAGAGCACAGAGACUUCUUGCCAAGGCUGCCGUAAAAAUUCCUUCCUGUCCAAGAUCCGGGCACACGUGGCUACCUGUUCCAAGUACCAGAAUUACAUCAUGGAAGGUGGGAAGGCCACCACCAAGGAUGCCUCCCUUCAGCCAAGGAACGUCCCAAACCGUCACACCUUUCUUUGCCCUUACUGUCCCGAGAACUUUGAUCAAGAAGGACUAGGGGAACACUGCAAGUUAUCCCAUAGCACCUAUACCAAAUCUGUGGUUUGCCCCGUAUUUGCCUCAAUGCCCUGGGGAGACCCCAACUACCGCAGCGCCAUUUUCAUAGAGCACAUCCAGCGCCGGCACCAGUUUUCUUACGACACUUUUGUGGAUUACGAUGUUGAUGAAGAGGACAUGAGGUGUUGCAGCACUCCAUCUUCGAUCAGUGAGCAGUCUCUGCUGUCCAUCUCCUGUUCCAGAGCUUCCAUUGUGUGUUAGGCGUGAAACAUGUGACUCAUACACCUUAAAUGUACAACAGACCUGGAAGUGAGCUGUGGUGUUAGGACUGGGUCCCUUCUGACAGAGAAAGAGGUCUCCAGGUCAGAGCUGUCCUUUCCUUUCGGGUCUUUCCUACUGUUCAUUCUGUCACAUGUCUGGUCUUUGAUUGCUCCUCAGCUACGUCCUGGAGCUUCUGCUUCCUCUUCUGGAAGAGAACCCAGCUUCUCCACCUAUCUUUGUUUCACACUUGUUCCUCCAAUCUAGUGUUCAUCUCUCAGGUCCUCUGAGCCAGCCAGAACCUUUUCUGGGUCAUGAAUAGCACAAAUGAGACCAGCAUCUUCUCUCCUUGUCCCUGAGGUGUGUGUAUCCGAUUGGUGACGGAGCUCCUUCUGUGCUCUGGAAGUUCUUGUUUGUUGGCCCUUAGCAGCAGCUGCCAAAAGCUGGAGUUUACCUCCUGGGAAACAUUUCAAAAGGCCUGUUGGGGUGAAUGUUCUGGGUUUAGCAUGAUCUGAUGCUGGAAGUUUUGAUUAGUGGUAUUUUCCUUCCACUCCUGCACACCCUUAGAAUUAACUGGUUCAGUCUUAAAUGCCUGCAUGGUGCCUUUUUAGGAUAAGGUGUAACCAUAUAUUUUUAGUGAGAAUAAGUGUUUCUAGGUUAGGAAAGUUAAACUCCAUUUAUCCAUAAGUGGGGAGGAGGGUCAGCUAAGAGCAGUGUGAGGGCCAUAACUUUUUGGUUCUGAUUUUCAAACUAAUGCCAUAUUUUCAAAUGACUGAGUCAUGUUUACCACUCUAUAUAGAGCUUGCUUACAUUCUU